UUUUUUGGAGAGUUUGAUCCCGGCUCAGGAUAAACGCUGGCGGCGUGCUUAAUGCAUGCAAGUCGAACGGUUCUUCCCGCAAGGGAAGGAUAGUGGCAAACGGGUGAGUAACAC
rnacentral:rRNA from 1 species